UACGGAGGGUGCGAGCGUUGUCCGGAAUCACUGGGCGUAAAGGGCGCGUAGGCGGCAUGCCAAGCGUGUGGUGAAAGCCCGGGGCUCAACCCCGGGUCGGCCGUGCGGACUGGCGUGCUCGAGCACUGUAGGGGCGGGUGGAAUUCCGGGUGUAGCGGUGGAAUGCGUAGAGGAUCCGGAAGACACCGGUGGCGAAGGCGGCCCGACAUGG
rnacentral:rRNA from 1 species